UUGGUACUCCCUCCGUCCGGAAAUACUUGUGAAUAAAAGAGGAUGUAUCUAGAUGUAUAUUAGUUCUAAAUACAUCUAUUUUUAUCCAUUUUGAUGACAAGUAUUUUCGGACGGAGGGAGUAGAUG
rfam:Triticum aestivum genome assembly, contig: Triticum_aestivum_CS42_TGACv1_scaffold_221246_3B